rnacentral:rRNA from 1 species
UACGUAGGGGGCAAGCGUUGUCCGGAUUUAUUGGGCGUAAAGCGCUCGCAGGCGGCUCGAUGCGUCGUGCGUGAAACACCCCGGCUCAACUGGGGAGGGUCGUGCGAUACGGUCGGGCUGGAGGCCAGUAGGGGGAUGCGGAAUUCCGGGUGUAGUGGUGGAAUGCGUAGAGAUCCGGAGGAACACCAGCGGCGAAGGCGGCAUCCUGGACUGGUACUGACGCUGAUGAGCGAAAGCUAGGGGAGCAAACGGG